GGCCAUGAUAGAUGUGGUCCAUUAGUCCUUUGGACCAAUCUUUCCCUUGUGUCUUUAGUUUUCUUCAUUCUUCCUUGCUUUUGAAUGGGUGAGACCAGUGGACUAUCCUAGAUGGCUGCUCACAGGCUUUUAAAGACUGUCUCGGUACUUGAUUCUGUUCCACUGGUCUAUGUGUCUAAAUGAAUGAUUUAUAAGGAUCGGCACAAAGCUGGUUCCUAUGAAGAUUAAAGAUGUCCUAAAUGUCUAGCUUUUCCAAGCUGUUGCACCGCUCCAUCAUCUCUAACAUCAACUAUUCCCUCUUGCCUCAGUACUCUCUGUCCUGUCUUUGGUUCUCUAAUUCCCUGCAACAUCUCACAAAACUUACAAACCAUACAAAGGAAAUGGCUCAUGCGGUUGUGCAGGCUGGCAAGUCCCAGAUCUGUGAGUCAGACACAGACUUCUCCCUGGCCAUCAGUCUCUGCCCAAAGGCACUCAGCUUUCUCACUCCGUGGGCUGGGAAGCUGACUGCGCUGUUUCUUGUCGGUCUCUGCUGCAAGUCUCUCCUUCUUUGGUGGUGGUGGGCUCUCCCUCUCUCCUCUGGAAUUGGCUCUCUUUUAAGGGGCUUUAUUCAUUCAAGGGAGUAAUACGAAUUGUUAGAAUUUCAAGAAUAUGGGUCAGGUCAUUCCAAAGAAAUUCCAGGCAAGAGGGCCUUUCGGUUCCCUUCAGUGACAUUAUCAGCUGGUGGUGCUCACAUCUACAUUUUCCAACAUCACUGUGAAAACGAGCUGAAGCAAAUAAAAAUAUUUGCCAUCCUACUUCACACUAAAUGGAAUCAAGAGAGACUGCUGGUGGCAAAAAGGUCCUCUGGAAGUAAGCAAGAAGUUCCUUAAAGUAACAGCCCAAAGUGUUCUAGAAAGACUGCUGGGACAUGAUGAUACUAAAGGGACUGGGAGACGUCAGCCUAUGGAGACAUACCAGGCCUGCCGAUUUUCAUGCCCUGCCAUGAAUAUCAUGAGAAGAAGUACAGCCAGAAUGCUCUUUAGAAGCAAGGAUGGCGCUGACUUCAUCUCAAAAACAUUGGAAAUGUUAUCGUCGGAGGGACCAGUGGAGGACAUCAUGCUUGGUAAAGUAGAGGGUCAGCGGUAAAGAGGAAGACCCUCAAGGAGAUGGACUGACAUGGUGGCUGCAACGAUGGGCUCAAAUAUAGGAACAAUUGUAAGGAUGGUGCAUGACCAGGCAGUGUUUCAUUCAGAGUUCCUAUGAGUCAGAACCAACUCAUGCACCUAAUAACAUCUGUCAUCCAGUCCAAGGAGGCUGCCUGCUCUGGGAUAAAAAAUCUUACUUCCAAUUGCAACCAACGUUACUAAAUUACUUGUAUAUACAUUUUUGAAGGAGAAACUAAUUGCUCUGUAAACUUUCACCUAAAGCACAAUAAAAAAUAAAAAUAAAGAAACCUUACUUCCCCUGUUCCUCUGAAUUUUUUCACUCACCCAAAGAUUUUGUAGCUAAACAGAGCCCUUAUGAAAAUACUAGCCUAGCAUCCUUCCCACAAGAUCUAAGGCUUGAGAUCAACUCUGCCUCUGCAUAUAUCACCAGCCCCUGCAUUCCGUCACUCCAAUUCUAACUGCUCAACUCCAGGCGCUGGCCAUCACUUGAAACCUCACUAAGAAAGCACAAUGGAUUUAUGAUGGGAGCCCCUGGGUGAGGCAAACGGUUAAUGUGCUCACUGCUAACAGGAAGGUUGGCAGUUUCAGUCCACCCAGAGGUGACCUGGAAGAAAAGGCCUGGCAAUCUACUUCCAAAAACAUCCACCAUCGAGAACCCUAUUGAGCAGAGUUCUACUCUGACACACAUGAGGUCGUCAUGAGUCAGAAUCAACUAGAUGACAAUCAGUUGGUUUGUUCGUUGGGUUUAUGAUGAGGCUCACUACUCAUCAGAGACUGGAUGGGGUCACAACCUUCAUCAUUUGUGUCCAAAACCACAUGGGUCCCUGUAGUAAAAUCACUACAUUCAUUCUAAAACUACUAACCCUUUUUGUUUAAUUAUCACAAUCAAGAACUAUAAAUUAUAAGGAUUAUAAUUGUAUACCAGAAAACGUCCUUUGAUUCUGUAAG